AGUGAACGCUGGCGGUAGGCCUAACACAUGCAAGUCGAACGGCAGCACAGUAAGAGCUUGCUCUUACGGGUGGCGAGUGGCGGACGGGUGAGGAAUACAUCGGAAUCUACUUUUUCGUGGGGGAUAACGUAGGGAAACUUACGCUAAUACCGCAUACGACCUACGGGUGAAAGCAGGGGAUCUUCGGACCUUGCGCGAUUGAAUGAGCCGAUGUCGGAUUAGCUAGUUGGCGGGGUAAAGGCCCACCAAGGCGACGAUCCGUAGCUGGUCUGAGAGGAUGAUCAGCCACACUGGAACUGAGACACGGUCCAGACUCCUACGGGAGGCAGCAGUGGGGAAUAUUGGACAAUGGGCGCAAGCCUGAUCCAGCCAUACCGCGUGGGUGAAGAAGGCCUUCGGGUUGUAAAGCCCUGUUGUUGGGAAAGAAAAGCAGCAGGUUAAUACCCCGAUGUUCUGACGGUACCCAAAGAAUAAGCACCGGCUAACUUCGUG
rnacentral:rRNA from 1 species